UCUGGUUUAGUUGGAUGUAGGCGUGCAUUAGGCAAAUCCGGUGCACAUAUACCGAGGCCAACGAUCGAGCGGACUUGUCCGUGAAGUGACUGAACGAGGUUCCAGGAAAAGCCACUAAGCUUCAGCUAUAUACGACCGUACCGCAAACCGACACUGGUGCGCGAGAUGAGUAUUCUAAGGCGCUUGAGAGAACUCAGGAGAAGGAACUCGGCAAAUUGACACCGUAACUUCGGAAGAAGGUGUGCCCUAUUAGUGUGUAGUGAACAACGAAGCAUGAAUGGGUUGCAAAAAAUCGGUGGCUGCGACUGUUUAUUAAAAACACAGCACUCUGCAAACACGAAAGUGGACGUAUAGGGUGUGACGCCUGCCCGGUGCUGGAAGAUUAAAUGAUGGGGUGCAAGCUCUUGAUUGAAGUCCCAGUAAACGGCGGCCGUAACUAUAACGGUCCUAAGGUAGCGAAAUUCCUUGUCGGGUAAGUUCCGACCUGCACGAAUGGCGUAACGAUGGCCACACUGUCUCCUCCUGAGACUCAGCGAAGUUGAAAUGUUUGUGAUGAUGCAAUCUCCCCGCGGAAAGACGGAAAGACCCCAUGAACCUUUACUGUAGCUUUGUAUUGGACUUUGAACUGAUCUGUGUAGGAUAGGUGGGAGGCUUUGAAGCAGGGUCGCUAGAUCUUGUGGAGCCAACGUUGAAAUACCACCCUGGUGUGUUUGAGGUUCUAACCUAGGUCCAUUAUCUGGAUCGGGGACAGUGCAUGGUAGGCAGUUUGACUGGGGCGGUCUCCUCCCAAAGCGUAACGGAGGAGUUCGAAGGUACGCUAGUUACGGUCGGACAUCGUGACGAUAGUGCAAUGGCAUAAGCGUGCUUAACUGCGAGACUGACAAGUCGAGCAGAUGCGAAAGCAGGACAUAGUGAUCCGGUGGUUCUGUAUGGAAGGGCCAUCGCUCAACGGAUAAAAGGUACUCUGGGGAUAACAGGCUGAUACCGCCCAAGAGUUCAUAUCGACGGCGGUGUUUGGCACCUCGAUGUCGGCUCAUCUCAUCCUGGGGCUGUAGCCGGUCCCAAGGGUAUGGCUGUUCGCCAUUUAAAGAGGUACGUGAGCUGGGUUUAAAACGUCGUGAGACAGUUUGGUCCCUAUCUUCCGUGGGCGCUGCAGAUUUGAGGAAGCCUGCUCCUAGUACGAGAGGACCGGAGUGGACACACCUCUGGUGUAUCGGUUGUCACGCCAGUGGCAUUGCCGAGUAGCUAAGUGUGGAAGAGAUAACCGCUGAAAGCAUCUAAGCGGGAAACUCGUUUCAAGAUGAGAUCUGCCGGGGCCUUGAGCCCCCUAAAGAGUCGUUCAAGACCAGGACGUUGAUAGGUCAGGUGUGGAAGCGCAGUAAUGCGUUAAGCUAACUGAUACUAAUUGCUCGUGCGGCUUGACCCC
rnacentral:rRNA from 1 species